rnacentral:lncRNA from 1 species
GUGACCAGGCCCAGGGCUCCUUUGUGGUGGAAGCCAGUGGCUGGGAGCCCACCUGGAGAGUGUGGAGUGGGUGUGGGAGGGAGAGACAGGUGGGCGAGGUGUGGACACUCAACAUAGGAAAGUAUUUGGAGACAGUCACAGUUACACACUCAACAUCUGCUGGCACCUACCCAAGCCCAGAGCUCCCAGAGCCCCGCGGGCCCCCGAGGCACUCCCAGUCAAGCAUGGGAGACAGGCCAGCACACAGGUGAUCCGUGGUCGUGAUAAAUGGUCACAAGGGGCCGUGGGCACCCAGAAAAUGAGCUCCUACUCGGCCUUGGAGAGCCUGAGAGUGAGGCCUUUGAAUGAUGCCCUGGACAGAGCUUGGAACAUGAAGGUGAAUACUGUUGUGGGGAGAAUGCAUCCCUUUGCCUGGCUCUGAGCCAGGGCCAGCUUUGGAUCCUGCUAGCCCCAUGGAUAUAGAGGUGACAGUACGAAGACUCACAGUAGUGGGGAAGUCCUGUCCUCAAGUCCAUGCAGCUCAGGAGUGGGAGAACUUGGAUCUGAGUGAGCCCUGAUUGUCGCCUUGAGGACCACUGUAUUUUCAGAGCCUUGCCUUGCUUCUCAGAGGUGAGAGCCACCUCCAUUUCAACACGGCCAUUGCUGGAGCUGAGGCAGCCUCCUAGCGCCCCAAGCAGGACAGAUGCUCUUUGGCUCCUUUGGGUUGGGAGCACAGAUAUCAACUGGACAUGAAGGGCUGGGACAGGAGAGAGCCUAUGUGGAGAGGAGGUUCUUCCAGGAGGUGGUUCUCAGAACGUCGCUCCAUGUAAGGAAUGGAAUGGGAUUACCUGCUCGUCUCCUGUCAAGCUUGGGGUAGCACUGCCUCUCUCAGGAUGGCUUCCUUCUUGAGAGGUUGAAGAACCCUUCCCAAGACUGGGCCAUCUUGCUCUGAGCACAGAGAAAUCACACAGGCUAAAAGUUAGAUACCUGGGAGUGGCAGAAAGAGCACAGACUUCAAAACCAGAAAGAUUCACCUUCGAGUCUUGGCUCUGCCACUUACCAGCAGUCUGACCUUGAAUGAACCUCAGCUUCCCCAUUGUAAAUGGGGGCUCAAGAAUACCUCCC